rnacentral:rRNA from 1 species
UACAGAGGGUGCAAGCGUUAAUCGGAAUUACUGGGCGUAAAGCGUGCGCAGGCGGUGAUGUAAGACAGGUGUGAAAUCCCCGGGCUUAACCUGGGAACUGCAUUUGUGACUGCAUCGCUGGAGUGCGGCAGAGGGGGAUGGAAUUCCGCGUGUAGCAGUGAAAUGCGUAGAUAUGCGGAGGAACACCAAUGGCGAAGGCAGCCCCCCUGGGUUAACACUGACGCUCAUGCACGAAAGCGUGGGGAGCAAACAGG